rnacentral:misc_RNA from 1 species
GAUGAAGAACGUAGCGAAACGCGAUAGGUAAUGUGAAUUGCAGAAUUCCGUGAAUCAUCGAAUCUUUGAACGCACAUUGCGCCCCUCGGUAUUCCGUGGGGCAUGCCUGUUCGAGCGUCAUUUACCCCUCAAGCACUGCUUGGUGUUGGGCGUCUGUCCCGCUUCGCGCGCGGACUCGCCCCAAAGGUAUUGGCAGCGGUCGUGCCAGCUUCUCGCGCAGCACAUUGCGCUUCUCGAGGCGGUCGAUCGGCGUCCACGAAGCUCACCUCCACCGUUUGACCUCGGAUCAGGUAGGGAUACCCGCUGAACUUAAGCAUAUCAAUAAGCGGAGGA